AGAGUUUGAUCAUGGCUCAGGACGAACGCUGGCGGUGCGCCUUAUGCAUGCAAGUCGAGCGAAGCUUUUCAGUAGUUUACUACAGAAAAUGACUGAGCGGCGAACGGGUGAGUAACGCGUGAGCAACCUACCUUAGUUACUGGGAUAGCCCGAGGAAACUCGGAUUAAUACCGGAUAUUCUUAUUUAAUCACAUGAUUUUUUAAGGAAAGGUCAGCCGAACUAAGAUGGGCUCGCGUUCUAUCAGCUAGUUGGUAGGGUAAUGGCCUACCAAGGCUACGACGGAUAGCUGGUCUGAGAGGACGAUCAGCCACACUGGGACUGAGACACGGCCCAGACUCCUACGGGAGGCUGCAGCAGGGAAUAUUGCGCAAUGAGCGAAAGCUUGACGCAGCGACACCGCGUGUGGGAUGACGGAUCUAGGUUUGUAAACCACUUUCAGGAGGGAAGAAAAUGACGGUACCUCCACAAGAAGCCCCGGCCAACUACGUGCCAGCAGCCGCGGUAAUACGUAGGGGGCGAGCGUUGUCCGGAUUUAUUGGGCGUGAAGAGCUCGUAGGCGGUUCAACAAGUCGGUCGUGAAAGUUCAGGGCUCAACCCUGAAAUGUCGAUCGAUACUGUUGUGACUAGGAUACGGUAGAGGUGAGUGGAAUUCCGAGUGUAGCGGUGAAAUGCGUAGAUAUUCGGAGGAACACCAAUUGCGAAGGCAGCUCACUGGGCCGCUAUCGACGCUGAGGAGCGAAAGCUAGGGGAGCAAACAGGAUUAGAUACCCUGGUAGUCCUAGCUGUAAACGAUGGAUACUA
rnacentral:rRNA from 1 species